AGGUAAUCUUCCUCCCAUACUCUCCCUCCCUACCCCAUUUUGAGUCACUCCCCUUAUAUCAGAGAAGACACUGGGCAUUUGUUUUUUUGGGAUUGACUAAAAAAAAAGAUGGUUAGAUGCCACGAAGUAGGUGGCAAUGCCCUAACUGUAUGCAUGUUGUCAGGUCCCAGAGCCUCUUCCAUCCUUGUCAAGGGGCGUUCUAACCUUCUCUCUUUUCAUACAACACUCACACUUGAUUUUAAGGCAGCAAGCCUGAUGGGUAAGAGCAUAGGUUUAAAGUCAGUCUUGAGUUGAGUCCUUGUUAUAUGAACUGGAGAUUAAUUUUAUAAGCCUCAGUUUUCUCACAAAUGGGGUUAAUAAUAGCUGUCUCUCAGGAUUGCAAAUCAAGGGAGAUCAUUUAUAUGAAGUGCUUCAUAAGUGAUGUGAGUAGAAAUGAAGAGUCGAUAAUAAAUGACAUCUUGAAAUCAAUGGCUAUGCUGUAUAAGGGUAAAUGUAUGCAAAAGACAUUCCAAAGAAAUGUCCCAUACCACUGGAAUAUAGUAUGAAUAUGUGCUUAUAUUAUGAAACUUUGCUUCCCAAACUUUUAAGAUAUGUCUGUGUAUAGCAUAGUUCAGUUUAUUACCCAAUGCAUACAUGUACUGAAAUAUCUAAGCUACCCCAUAAAUAUAUAAAUUUUUGCAUUCAUUUAUGUGUCAUUUGAAAUAAAUUUAUAAAUCACUUUGAUCUUUUAA